UAUCUUGUCUCGGAUCCGUCGUUUACAACACCGAUAAUAACGUACAAACGUGUUUUGUUUGUAUUUUUUUGUUUUUCAAUCCAUACUGUUAUCGUGACAGGCUUUUUUUUUGUUUUUUUUUUUGUAUUCGGCCGACAAGUUAUCGUCAGAGAAAAACGUCGAUUUUUUAAACUUAAUUUUAUCGAGUAAAUAAAGCGCCGAUCGCCCGUCGACGACAACGGCGGCGGCCGUGGUGCCGGAACGCGAGCGUCGUCGUCGUCGUUGUCGGAGCACGCAUUUCAAUGAAAUCAAAACGGUUUCGACCUGACCAAACCCGACCGGUUGUCCGUUGCACGUGCGAUCGUACACGCGUUUGAUUUAUGUUUUACAGCGACUUUUCGGCGCCAUUACGGUACGCGCGUGGAGUUGUUGACAAAACGGUCGGACGUUUCGUUUUCCGCUUUUGUUUCCCCGGACCGGUCCGCGCGAUUUGCGAUUUCAUUCGGAAUACCAUUAUUAUCGAAAACGCGCAACAAUACGGUUUGGAUAAUGUCGCGUUGCGAACUACAACAAAAAUCAUAAAAUCCAGAACGAUCUCGCCGCAGAGAAUUUCGCGAUAAAGAAGACCGAAGGCCGUUGUCCCGCUUAACCGUUC